CCAAACUUGGUCAUUUAGAGGAAGUAAAAGUCGUAACAAGGUCUCCGUUGGUGAACCAGCGGAGGGAUCAUUACAGAGUUGCAAAACUCCCACACCCCUUGCGAACGUUACCCGUCCGGUUGCUUCAGCGGGCGGCCCCGGGGAGGGGCCGUAGCCCGCGAGGGCGCCCGCCGGAGGCCUCGAACCCCUGUAUUGCAGGUCUCUCUGAGCGGUAUACGAAUCAGUCAAAACUUUCAACAACGGAUCUCUUGGUUCUGGCAUCGAUGAAGAACGCAGC
rnacentral:misc_RNA from 1 species